rnacentral:guide_RNA from 1 species
AAACAACAGCCAGACAGUGAGAGUUUGAGUGAUGAUAAAUU